rnacentral:rRNA from 1 species
UACGUAGGCAGCGAGCGUUGUUCGGAUUUACUGGGCGUAAAGCGCACGUAGGCGGAUCGUUAAGUCGGGGGUGAAAUCCUGGAGCUCAACUCCAGAACUGCCUUCGAUACUGGCGAUCUCGAGUCCGGAAGAGGUGAGUGGAACUCCUAGUGUAGAGGUGGAAUUCGUAGAUAUUAGGAAGAACACCAGUGGCGAAGGCGGCUCACUGGUCCGGUACUGACGCUGAGGUGCGAAAGCGUGGGGAGCAAACAGG